rnacentral:rRNA from 1 species
AUACGGAGGGGGCUAGCGUUGUUCGGAAUUACUGGGCGUAAAGCGCGCGUAGGCGGUUUGCCAAGUCAGGCGUGAAAGCCCCGGGCUCAACCCGGGAACUGCGUUUGAAACUGGCAGGCUUGAGGCCGGGAGAGGGUAGUGGAAUUCCCAGUGUAGAGGUGAAAUUCGUAGAUAUUGGGAAGAACACCAGUGGCGAAGGCGGCCACCUGGACCAAGACUGACGCUGAGGGACGAAAGCGUGGGGAGCAAACAGGAUUAGAAACCCUAGUAGUCC